CUGCGGUUGGCUCCAGUUAUUAACAACAUCAACUUUUACUGUACUGUGGUUAUAGUACUCGUAUAGUCAUUUAGGUAGUAGUCGUAAAGUUCGUUAAACUAUAGUUAUUUUGGUUUUGGGAUUUUUUUUUUUUUUUAGAGUACCUACUUAUCUGCAUAUUUUUACCUAUGUAUCCUACAAAAAUAUGAUGACCAGAUAAAUAUAUAUACAGGUAUCUACUUCCAUUUACUUCAUUAAAUAAACACAAAACUGCUCUUAGUGCAACAAGCAGUAAAUGCCAAAUUUUCAAAAUUGAGGUUAUUUCAUUUUCGGGGUCAUUGGAUAAUUCUGCGUUUUUUUCCUUGAAUAAAACUCAGUAACUCCACUAUAAAUGCAUUUUAAAAUGGUAUCGAACAAAAUAUUGUCCAAUACCUAAAGGGGAAAAACAAUAUGUCAAUAAGUAGCACGUCCUAGAAAAUAAAGCAGUGUGUACAAUUGAAUACGUACUACUCUAGUAGUAUUAAUACUCUUUUCUUAGUAAACUGAUUUCUCGAUGUGUAUUCUGCAUAUUUAUAAUGUAAUCUUAGUUAAAACGGUUUUACAGUACGUAAGUGCCUAUAAUUUAUCUUUUAUCUAUGAAUGAUUUUACCUACUUUUCAGACACAUUUAUCGAGAUUUAUCAGAUACCUAGUCUACCUUGGUACUAGCUAUUAUACCUAACCAAUUAUGUAUUAAACAUUCUAAUAUUUUAUCAUCAAUUAUUACUAUCAGUAAAUACAAAAUGGUUAGUCAAAUAUUUUUUUAUAUUAUUUCAAUAGGUACAUUACACUUUAAACUAGGUACUUGGUAGGCUUAAAUGCAAUUUUCAGUUAAUACAAAAGAGUAAUAUAACGAAUUGUUAAUUGUUUAUGGUGUUGUGCAACACCAUAAGAAUGGGUCUAUACAUAAUUUAUACAAAAAGAAGCGAGAAAAAAAUAAUUUCAUUGGGGAAAACAAAGAAAUCGAACUAAUUUUUCCAACUAUUCAAUUUUUUGGAGAUACUGAUCGUUGCACUAAAAUAGUAUAUGCAGUAUGCAAAAACUAAAGAUAAGAUGUUGAUCUUAUUCUAAAAAUUAACAAAAAAGAUCGAAAAAAUUGCUUAAA